GGGCUGGACAUUUUUGGCGCCGUAUUCUCUACAUUGAUUGUCUAUUAUAAAAUGAUUGAAUGGACCCAAAGCUAUGUACUAUUUAAUAUAUUUGAAGUGGAAUUUGCCAGUAAAAAAUGGACAUGGGAAAUUCCCGUUUGUUGUAUUGUUAGUUAGCAUAACUUUACAGAUUUCUUGUUGUGAACAAGAUAUACGGCUAUUCAAUGAAAUUUACAAUACGACCGACACAAGGAAAAACAAACAAGAA
rnacentral:lncRNA from 1 species